rnacentral:rRNA from 1 species
GAUGAACGCUAGCGACAGGCUUAACACAUGCAAGUCGAGGGGCAGCACAGGUAGCAAUACCGGGUGGCGACCGGCGCACGGGUGAGUAACGCGUAUGCAACUUACCUAUCAGAGGGGGAUAACCCGGCGAAAGUCGGACUAAUACCGCAUGAAGCAGGGGCCCCGCAUGGGGAUAUUUGCUAAAGAUUUAUCGCUGAUAGAUAGGCAUGCGUUCCAUUAGGCAGUUGGCGGGGUAACGGCCCACCAAACCGACGAUGGAUAGGGGUUCUGAGAGGAAGGUCCCCCACAUUGGUACUGAGACACGGACCAAACUCCUACGGGAGGCAGCAGUGAGGAAUAUUGGUCAAUGGGCGCGAGCCUGAACCAGCCAAGUCGCGUGAGGGAUGAAGGUUCUAUGGAUCGUAAACCUCUUUUAUAAGGGAAUAAAGUGCGGGACGUGUCCCGUUUUGUAUGUACCUUAUGAAUAAGGAUCGGCUAACUCCGUGCCAGCAGCCGCGGUAAUACGGAGGAUCCGAGCGUUAUCCGGAUUUAUUGGGUUUAAAGGGUGCGUAGGCGGCCUUUUAAGUCAGCGGUGAAAGUCUGUGGCUCAACCAUAGAAUUGCCGUUGAAACUGGGGGGCUUGAGUAUGUUUGAGGCAGGCGGAAUGCGUGGUGUAGCGGUGAAAUGCUUAGAUAUCACGCAGAACCCCGAUUGCGAAGGCAGCCUGCCAAGCCAUGACUGACGCUGAUGCACGAAAGCGUGGGGAUCAAACAGGAUUAGAUACCCUGGUAGUCCACGCAGUAAACGAUGAUCACUAGCUGUUUGCGAUACAGUGUAAGCGGCACAGCGAAAGCGUUAAGUGAUCCACCCUGGGGAGUACGCCGGCAACGGUGAAACUCAAAGGAAUUGACGGGGGCCCGCACAAGCGGAGGAACAUGUGGUUUAAUUCGAUGAUACGCGAGGAACCUUACCCGGGUUUGAACGCAUUCGGACCGAGGUGGAAACACCUUUUCUAGCAAUAGCCGUUUGCGAGGUGCUGCAUGGUUGUCGUCAGCUCGUGCCGUGAGGUGUCGGCUUAAGUGCCAUAACGAGCGCAACCCUUGCCACUAGUUACUAACAGGUAAAGCUGAGGACUCUGGUGGGACUGCCAGCGUAAGCUGCGAGGAAGGCGGGGAUGACGUCAAAUCAGCACGGCCCUUACAUCCGGGGCGACACACGUGUUACAAUGGCGUGGACAAAGGGAUGCCACCUGGCGACAGGGAGCGAAUCCCCAAACCACGUCUCAGUUCGGAUCGGAGUCUGCAACCCGACUCCGUGAAGCUGGAUUCGCUAGUAAUCGCGCAUCAGCCAUGGCGCGGUGAAUACGUUCCCGGGCCU